GACGAACGCUGGCGGCGUGCUUAACACAUGCAAGUCGAGCGGUAAGGCCCUUUCGGGGGUACACGAGCGGCGAACGGGUGAGUAACACGUGGGUGACCUGCCUUUAGCUCUGGGAUAAGCCUGGGAAACUGGGUCUAAUACCGGAUAUGACUCCGCGGUGCAUGCUGUGGGGUGGAAAGCCUUGUGCGGCUGGGGAUGGGCCCGCGGCCUAUCAGCUUGUUGGUGGGGUGAUGGCCUACCAAGGCGACGACGGGUAGCCGGCCUGAGAGGGCGACCGGCCACACUGGGACUAAGACACGGCCCAGACUCCUACGGGAGGCAGCAGUGGGGAAUCUUGCGCAAUGGGCGAAAGCCUGACGCAGCGACGCCGCGUGAGGGAUGACGGCCU
rnacentral:rRNA from 1 species